UCAGGCGCUUCAGGUGAAUUCGAGCGACCGACGAUUCUUCCUCUUCUCUCUUCUGAUCUAAUGCCCUACUCCUCCAUUAACGAUCGAAACAAAACUGGCGAGUCGGGUAAGAGGAGCGAGAAAAAUACUAGCUAGGCUCAUCGGAGGAAAAAGAGAUCGAUGAGGAGGGGUAAGCUAGUGAUCCGGAGGAUUGAUAAUUCCACGAGCAGGCAAGUGACUUUUUCAAAGCGUAGAAAUGGAUUGCUUAAGAAGGCCAAGGAGCUUUCGAUCCUUUGCAAUGCAGAAGUUGGGGUGAUUAUUUUCUCCAGCACCAACAAGGUCCUUGAAGAUGGACAUGCAUCUACUUCAAGAAAGUAAUACAGAGGCUCUUGAUUAAAAAGAAGACAAACUCUUAUCAUUAUUGCAGCUGUCAUGCUCUUUUUGGCAUUUCUUGAAUUUUUAUUUUCAAAAUGAUUGAGAUGCAACCUCUGGUAGACUUGUGAGUGAUUUAAACAUUAAGCCCUUUUCAUGCUCAAUUAUUAAAAAAGAGGUCAUUGACAAUUUUGGAAUCAGUUCUCUUUUACUUGAUUAGAUUCUAUCCUUAUUUGGGAGCCUAAAAGAUGUGUAUA